rnacentral:rRNA from 1 species
UGAGGAAUAUUGGUCAAUGGGCGAGAGCCUGAACCAGCCAAGUAGCGUGAGGGAUGACUGCCCUAUGGGUUGUAAACCUCUUUUGAUUGGGAACAAAGAGCGCCACGUGUGGUGCGUUGCGUGUACCUUUCGAAUAAGCAUCGGCUAAUUCCGUGCCAGCAGCCGCGGUAAUACGGAAGGUCCGGGCGUUAUCCGGAUUUAUUGGGUUUAAAGGGAGCGUAGGCCGGAGAUUAAGCGUGUUGUGAAAUGCCGCGGCUCAACCGUGGCACUGCAGCGCGAACUGGUUUUCUUGAGUGCGCGCGACGCAGGCGGAAUUCGUGGUGUAGCGGUGAAAUGCUUAGAUAUCACGAGGAACCCCGAUUGCGAAGGCAGCUUGCGGGAGCGCAACUGACGCUGAAGCUCGAAGGUGCG